CCUGCAAACAUUACACAAAGCAUUACAGUUGUUACCUUUCUUCCACAGGAACAGUAUUACUUUUUUAGGAGAGAUUUUAAAUUGAGAUUUUAAAUUGUUUCCAUUAGUGCAACAGUAACGAUCAGGUUUUGUCUCAGUAAUUCAGAAACGGGAAAACUUCCCACUAAUCAGAGUAUAAGGGAAUUGUGGUGUUUACAAACUGGAAGAGCUAAAAGAGGAAAAUGUACAGCUUCAGCAUUCAGGAAUGAGCUGCUCUGAGACGUGUACCCACAAAAGAUAUUUUCUGUGGAGUCGCAGCUUCCGUCACCCUCAUCCCAUCUGGCGCUGCAGAAGAAACCAGACGUGAAACAGCACACAUUUUGAAGAGGGCACACCCCACUCAAUCCCGUCACUGGAUGAGAAAGAGCAGCCGCGAGAGAACUCCAGGACGGAGCGAAUGUUUAUGUAGUACUGGUGGACAAGGGGAACGCGUCUGCCAUUCUGGACUCCUCGGACUACCCAGGAAAGAUCCACACUCUCAUAGCCGAUCCCACCGUCCGAUUUUAAAACAUUCAGCGUGGCUCAUCCCCCCAAAAAAACUGAAGUUGUACAUUGAACUCCAGUUGCAGAAACGUAAGGACAGUUAUUAGCGCAGACAUUCGCCGUGUUUUGAUUUUGUAUUGUGUUUGUGUAUGGCUUCCUAGUGAUCUCCUCCUUUUUAGAUUUGGAACUAACAUUUUGUAUUCCGAGUUGCUCAAGAUAUUCUCAGUCUCUGUUCUCUGUGGAUGAGAAACCAAGAAACCAUGACUGAAAUAAAUUAUACAAUUUUAAGUACUUA